rnacentral:lncRNA from 1 species
GUUGGGUGAGAGGCGUGGCCAUUGGCGUGGUGGGCGCGGCUAGAGGAGGGGGCGGGGCCGGGCAGGGGGGAGCCGCGCUGAGAUUGCCCUUGUGUCUAGAGCUCGAAGCGGCGGGUAGCGGAGCAGGCUUCCCGUGAACCAAGGCAAGCGAGCGCGGCUGGCAGCCUCCUCCGCGCCCGGCUCCAGAGCGGGGACGUGCGCCCGGCACCGCUGCACCGGGGGGACCUGCCCAGCGCCAGAGGAGGAGGGAGCCGCCUCACCACCCGCCCCCGCGACCCUGGUCCUCCUCCUCACCCCACUGGAUACAGCGAGGCAGAGGGAGACACUGCGGCGGAGGCUCCUGCUGGGGGACAGAAGCGCCCGGAGAGAGGCGGCGCAGGCUGCGGGAAUCUCUGCCUGGCGCCCACCCAGCCCGAGGGAAGCCCCCAGGAUGCGGCUGAGACCCAGCGCCCUACUGCGCUUCUACAGCCUCUGCGGGCUCCUCAUACAAGGGGAUGAACUAAGGCAAGUGACCAGUGAGAAGCCCUACAAAUACAAAGGACAAAGAGAAACAGUAACCUUCAGCUGCAAGUUGCCUGAAUGAAAGAAAGGAGGGACCAACACUUCAGUGUACACUGGUGUAACUAGAACAGAGAACACA